rnacentral:rRNA from 1 species
CACUAUGCCUAGCCGUAAACAUUGAUUUGUCUGAUAUCAAACAUCCGCCCGGGGACUACGAGCGCCAGCUUGAAACCCAAAGGACUUGGCGGUGCCUUAGACCCCCCUAGAGGAGCCUGUUCUGUAACUGAUGCCCCCCGUUUAACCUCACCCUCCCUUGCUCUUCCCGCCUAUAUACCGCCGUCGUCAGCUCACCCUGCGAAGGACUUCAAGUGAGCAAAAUUGGCCAAUCCCUAAAACGUCAGGUCGAGGUGUAGCACAUGAGAGGGGAAGAAAUGGGCUACAUUCGUUUAUCAACGCACACGAAUGACUUAUUGAAACAUUAAUCUGAAGGAGGAUUUAGCAGUAAGAAAGGACUAGAGAGCCCAUCUGAAACCGGCCCUGAGGUGCGCACACACCGCCCGUCACUCUCCCCAACACACCUAUCAUUUAUACCUAAAACACCACAACGCUUAAGGGGAGGCAAGUCGUAA